rnacentral:rRNA from 1 species
ACUGUCUCUAAAGGAUUUGUUAUUAAAAUUAACUUUUAAGUUAAAAGGCUUAAAUUUUACUUAAAGACGAGAAGACCCUAUAGAGUUUUAUAGCUUAGUUGUGAAGGGUUAUUGGUUAUUUUAUUUCUUUACAAUGAAGGUUAUUUGGUUGGGGUGACUUAAAGAUUUAAUAAACUCUUUAAAUUUGAAGUUAUUGAUUUGUAAAUGAAUAAUCUAAUUUUUUUAAAAUUAAAAUAAAUUACCUUAGGGAUAACAGCGUAAUUUUUCUUUAGAGUUCUUAUUGAAAGGAAAGU